AUCCUGACACAGGGAGGUAGUGACAAGAAAUAACAAUACGGGGCUUAAUGUCUUGUAAUUGGAAUGAUGGGAAUUUAAACCUCUUCCAGAGUAUCAAUUGGAGGGCAAGUCUGGUGCCAGCAGCCGCGGUAAUUCCAGCUCCAAUAGCGUAUAUUAAAAUUGUUGCAGUUAAAAAGCUCGUAGUUGAAUUUCUGCUGCAUUGCUUUUGCUCCUUUACGAGUCUUUGCAUUGUGGCUUAUUUCGGACUUUGUUUUACAAUGUCCGGAUGUUUACUUUGAGAAAAUUAGAGUGCUCAAAGCAGGCUUUCGCCUUGAAUAGUUUAGCAUGGAAUAAUAAAGUAGGACUUUGGUUCUAUUUUGUUGGUUUUAGGUACCAAAGUAAUGGUUAAUAGGAACAGUUGG
rnacentral:rRNA from 1 species